rnacentral:lncRNA from 1 species
AAGGGACAAACUUGAUCAAAAGGUAGAAAUUUACAUUUUCCUAGGCUAUAGCUACAUCACAAAAGGCUAUAGAGCUUACAAUCCACUCACAAGCAAGAUGAUUGUAAGUAAAAUUGUAAAGUUUAAUGAACAUGCAACAUGGAAUUGGGAAACAAAUGAAGAACAUGUCAAACAAAGUGUAACAUAUUUGAACUCUCAACAAUAAGAAGAUUUCAUUUUUGAUGAAGAAACCACUGAUCAUAAUCCAGUAAGUGGAAUCAGACCACUUACUGACGUAUCAAAGGCCAAAUAUUGAUAUACUUGAACCUGCAAUCUUUGAAAAAGCCUUCAAAAAUUUUAAAAAUGGAGAGAUGCCAUGAAGGAAGACUUUCUAAUGAUUGAAAAGAAUCAAACUUGGAUGCUUAUCAAUAAACCUAGCAACAAGAACAUUGUUGGAGUCAAAUGGAUUUAUAGAACCAAUUUGAAUUUGGAUGGUUCUAUCAACAAACUCAACACCAAAUUACACUCAACAGUAUCAUAUUUUUUAGAAACAUAUGCUCUAGUCCCGAGGCUGGACACAAUAAGAUUGUUAUUAGCCUUAGCAGCACAAAAAAGUUAGAAAAUAUUUCAACUUGAUGUUAAAUCAACAUUAUUGGAUGGUUAUCUUCAUGAGGACAUCUUUUGGAAGCCAAAGUUUAUCUUUUGGAAAAGCUUUGUAUGGAUUGAAACAAGCUCUAAGAGCUUGGUAUUCUAGAAUAGAUGAUCCUUUGCUGAGGUUGAGAUUCAAAAAGACUCUUAAUGACUACUUGGUUGUUUCUCUAUAUGUUGAUGACAUAUUAGUGAUAAGGAGCAACUCUGAAUUGGAGCAACACUUCAAAAUUAAAUGAUGAAGGUAUCCAAAAUGAAAGACUUGGGAGAGGAGUCCUACUUUUUUGGAAUCGAGAUUCCUCAAUCCAAACAAGGAAUAUUAGCAUUUCUCAACAACUAUGCCAAGCAAGUGCAAAAAAUAAUUCAAGAUGGAGAAUUGCAAAGUUGACACACCAUUGGCUUAAAAUGAAAAGCUCAGCGAAAAGAUACUUCUACCAAGGUUGAUAAAACUAAUUACAGAAGGCUAAUUGAUUGCUUGUUGUAUCUGACAACUAGACCAAAUAUGAUGUUUGUCGUCAGUCUUCUUUCCAAACAAGAAAAGAGUGUUGAGGUAAUUGAUUUUGGUGUUUUAUUCCACAACUCAUCUGAAGUGAAAUUGUUGAGCUAUAUAGAUAGUGAUUGGACUGAAUCAUGUGAUGGUAUGAGAAGCACUUUAGGAUAUCUAUUUAUGAUGGGUUCAAAUAUAUUUACAUGAAACUCAAAAAAGCAAUAAAAUGUGGCAAAAUUAACUACAAAAGCAGAAUAUAUUGCAUUCAUUGUGAAUCAAUAAACCCGGUUGAGAAAAUUGUUGCCAAAUUUGGGCUUGACUCAAAAUAAGGCAACAGGGAUAAAUUGCAAUAAUCAAUCAGUUGUGGCAAUGGAGAAAAAUCCAGUUUUCUAUGGUCGAACCAAGCACAUAAAGAGUAAGUACCAUUUUAUUCAAGAAGUUGAAGCAAAAAAGGAAGUAAAGUUGGUCCUCUGCUGCUCAAAAGGUCAACUUGCAAAUAUUUUGACUAAGACAAUUUGAAACAUUGAGGAAAACUCUUGAUGUUUCCAUUGAAAUAGCAAGGAGUGUUGAAGAUAUGUUAUUUUUAAUGUUUAAAAUAUUGUUAAUAUUAUUUUAUUUUAACUAGAUUUGUUAUUAUCUUCUAGUGAUCAAUCAUAAUCAUUGUGAGAGAUUUUAGAUAAAGAUGAUGACUAGGGUUUAGAUAAGGAUUAUGUUUUGAAUAAGAAAGGUUAUAUGGACACACAUGAUUGGUGUUCAAGAUAUAAUUUAGAUAAGGUUUUCUACUAUUUGUGUAACAUCUUUUUUAGCAGUCAAGUAAAAAACAACCAAGUUUGUUCUACACUUCUUUCUUCCUUUUGAGAGUUUGUUUCUUGUAUCCCUUCCAACAGCAUCUUAUUUUUCUGUCAUAUUUACAAGAAAUGAGCAUAGUUUCGAUAUCCCCAUCCACCAUAAUAUAACUUGUAAAAGCUAUGGGGAGUAAAGAAAGGGGCAAGUUCAAUUGCAAAUCUAUCAACUAGCAGUCUUCAAGAUGUGGCUCCCACUCAAGAAAAAUAUAUCUAAAAUAUAUUAGCAAAAAAGGCAGGAAUAGCAAUACCAGACAAUGGGGCUAUUCUAACAGACGGUAAUUGGAAAGAGCUUGGUAAUAGCCACACAUAGCAGUUGGAGAACAUGCCCACAGUUCUGAAGAGAGAACUACGAACCACAUUCCACUCUAGGAUUGAAAUAUUGGAAUCGGUGAAUCCUGUGAACCUUUCCGAAAAGCAUUCUUCUCAACUUCAACCAAAAUUGCACGUGCCAGCCCAUCCUUUGAAAGUUUCUUUUUCUUUUUCCCUUCUUUGCGCUUGAGAACCUUUUAAGUAGGCAAAAGAUUAAGAAAAAAAAUGUAUCAGUUCCCCAUAUAUAUUUCAGCCAAAUAGUAGGAAUAAAAACGAAGGAUAGAAUUUUGACAGAAACUAAUUCAACAAUUCCUUUCAAAAAUUCCAUCAUGAAUCUCUCAACCCUUUUUAAUGCAAGUCCUUACCUGACAAAAUGCUUAAAAUGAUUAGUUCCACCUACCGUUUCUCUGUGAAUAUCUCGACCAAUAAAAUAAUGACUAGUGUGUACUGGCUUUUCUCUGGAAGCAUGUACAUAAACAGAGAAUCUAUCCUCAUGGCC